UACGUAGGGGCCGAGCGUUGUCCGGAGUUAUUGGGCGUAAAGCGCGCGCAGGCGGCUUGACGCGCCCGACGUGAAAGCCCCCGGCUUAACCGGGGAGGGUCGUCGGGUACGGUCAGGCUUGAGGGCGGGAGAGGGUGGUGGAAUUCCCGGUGUAGUGGUGAAAUGCGUAGAGAUCGGGAGGAACACCUGUGGCGAAGGCGGCCACCUGGGCCGACCCCUGACGCUGAGGCGCCGAAGGCGUGGGGAGCGAACGGG
rnacentral:rRNA from 1 species